rnacentral:rRNA from 1 species
ACGAACGCUGGCGGCGUGCCUAAUACAUGCAAGUCGAGCGAACAGACGAGGAGCUUGCUCCUCUGACGUUAGCGGCGGACGGGUGAGUAACACGUGGAUAACCUACCUAUAAGACUGGGAUAACUUCGGGAAACCGGAGCUAAUACCGGAUAAUAUAUUGAACCUCAUGGUUCAAUAGUGAAAGACGGUUUUGCUGUCACUUAUAGAUGGAUCCGCGCCGCAUUAGCUAGUUGGUAAGGUAACGGCUUACCAAGGCAACGAUGCGUAGCCGACCUGAGAGGGUGAUCGGCCACACUGGAACGGAGACACGGUCCAGACUCCUACGGGAGGCAGCAGUAGGGAAUCUUCCGCAAUGGGCGAAAGCCUGACGGAGCAACGCCGCGUGAGUGAUGAAGGUCUUCGGAUCGUAAAACUCUGUUAUUAGGGAAGAACAAAUGUGUAAGUAACUAUGCACGUCUUGACGGUACCUAAUCAGAAAGCCACGGCUAACUACGUG